UACGGAGGGUGCAAGCGUUAUCCGGAUUCACUGGGUUUAAAGGGUGCGUAGGCGGGUUGGUAAGUCCGUGGUGAAUCCCCAAGCUUAACUUGGGAACUGCCGUGGAUACUAUCAAUCUUGAAUAUCGUGGAGGUAAGCGGAAUAUGUCAUGUAGCGGUGAAAUGCUUAGAUAUGACAUAGAACACCAAUUGCGUAGGCAGCUUACUACACGAUCAUUGACGCUGAGGCACGAAAGCGUGGGGAGCAAGCAGG
rnacentral:rRNA from 1 species